rnacentral:rRNA from 1 species
UACGGAGGGGGCGAGCGUUAUUCGGAAUUAUUGGGCGUAAAGGGCGCGUAGGCGGCUUGGUAAGUCAAAGGUGAAAUCCCUCGGCUCAACUGAGGAAUUGCCUUUGAAACUGCCUGGCUCGAGGCCGGGAGGGGGUAGCGGAAUUCCCAGUGUAGCGGUGAAAUGCGUAGAUAUCGGGAAGAACACCCGUGGCGAAGGCGGCUCUCUGGGACGGUACUGACGCUGAGACGCGAAAGCGUGGGGAGCGAACAGG